rnacentral:lncRNA from 1 species
UCAUUGAUUUCUGCUCUAAUCUUUAUCAUUUCUCUUCUCCUGUUGGAUUUAGGCUUUAUUUGCUCUUCUUUUUCCAGCUCCUUUAGUGGUAAGAAUAGAUUGUGUAUUUGAGACUUUUCUUGCUUCUUAAGGCCUGAAUUGGUAUACACUUCUCUCCUAGGACUCCUUUGCUACAUCCCAAAUGUUUUGAACUGUUGUGUUUUCAUUUUCAUUUGCUUCCAUGUGUUUUCUGUAAUUCUUCUUUAAUUUCCUGGUUAACCCAUUCAUUCUUUAGUAGGAUGUUCUUUAGCCUCCAUGUAUUUGUGGUCUUUCCAAGUUUCUUCUUGUGGUUGACUUCAAGUUUCAUAGCAUUAUGGCCUGAAAAUAUGCAUGGUAUGAUCUCAAUUUUUUGUACCAGUUGAGAUCUGAUUUGUGACCCAGUAUGUGAUCUAUUUUGGAGAAUAUUCCAUGUGCACUUGAAAAGAAUGUGUUUUCUGCUACUUUAGGAUUAGAUGUUGUGAAUGUAUGUUAAGUCCAUCUGGUCCAGUAUGUCAUUCAAGAUCCUUGUUUGUUGAUCUGCUUAGAUGAUCUGUCCACUACUGUCAAUGAAGUACUAAAGUUUUCUAUUUAUUGUAUUAUUAUCAAUGUUUCUUUAAUUUUGUUAUUAAUUGGUUUAUAUAUUUGGCUGCUUCCAAGUUAGUGGCAUAAAUAUUUAUGAUUGUUAUAUCUUGUUGGGUAGACCCUUUUAUUAUGCUAUAAUGCCCUUCUUCAUAUUUUAUUACAGUCUUUGGUUUUAAAAUCUAGUUUGUCUGAUAUAAGGAUGGCCUCUCCAGGUUUCUUUUGAUGUCCAUUAACAAGAAUGGACAUACAAAUUUUAGGGUUCUCUACCUCAUCAUUUUCAAUCUGGAGGUGUCUUUGGGUCUAAAAUGAGUCUCUUGUGAGCAGUAUAUCGAUAGGUCUUAUUUUUUAAUCCAUUUUUAUAUCCCAUGUUUUUUGAUUAGAGCAUUUAGUCCAUUUAUAUUCAGAGUAAUUACUGAAAGAUACAAAUUUAGCGCUAUUGUAAUAUCUGUUAAGUUGCAUUGUAUUAUCUGUUCAAUCGAUGUUCCUGUAGAUUAUCUCUGUUCCUUUCUGAUCUUUGUUACUUUUGGCCUCUCUCUCUCUGCUCAAAGUAUCCCCUUUAAUAUUUCUUGCAGAGUUGGUUUAGUGUUCACAAAUUCCAUUAGUUUAUGUUUGUUCUGGAAACUUUUUAUCUCUCUUUCUGUUCUGCAUGAUCACCUUGCUGGAUAAAGUAUUCUUGGCUGCAUAUUAUUCACAUUUAGCACAUAGAAUAUAUCAUGCCAGUCCUUUCAGGCCUGCCAGGUCUCUGUGGACAGGUCUGUUGCCAGUCUUAUGUGUCUACCCUUGUAGGUUAAGGACCUUCCCACUGCCCCCCCCUCGCCCCGAGCUGCUUUCAGGAUUAUCUCUUUUAGUUUGUAAUUUACAUGUUUCAUAAUAAUAUAUCAAGGUGUUGAUCUUUUUUUAUUGAUUUUGAGGGGGGUUCUCUGUGCCUCCUGGACUUAAAUGCUGGUUUCCUUCCCUAGAUUAGGUAAAUUCUCAGCAUAAUUUGUUCAAAGAAACUUUCUGCCCCUUUAUCCCACUUCUCAUCCUCUGGGACUCCUAUAAUAUGGAUAUUAUUUCAUUUUAUGGAAUUACUCAGUUCCCUAAGUCUACCUUCAUGAUAGAAGAGUUUUCUUUCCCUUUUCUUUUCAUCUUUAUUAUUUCCAUAAUUUUAUUUUCUAUAUUACUGAUUCACUCUUCUGUUCAUUCAUCAUCAUUUUCAUGGCCUCCACUUGGGAAUUCAUCUUGGUUAUAGCAUUUUUUAUUUUGGCCUGACUAUAUUUUAGUUCUUUCAUCUCUAUAGUAAGGGCUUCUCUAAUGUUUUCUAUAUUUUUUCAAGCCCAACUAGUAUCUUUAUAAUUGUUGUUUUAGAUUCUAGUUCAGACAUCUUACUUAUAACUGUAUUGAUUAAAUCCCUGGCUGUGAGAACUAGCUCCUCUUCUUUCUUUUCCAGGGAAUUCUCCAUCUCA